GCCAAAUGUAGCCGCCUUCCCACCUUCGGGGUUAAUCCUUCCAUAUAUGAAUUUUGGGGGUCACACAAUUCAGUCUAUAACACUAGGAUACCCAUUUUUCAUCCUUAUAAAAUAAAAUGAAUGUUACUUUGACAUUUCAUGAUAAGAUAUAAGCUUUUCUAUUCCUCUCAUUGCAAAAGAUGAUUAAAAGAUGCUGUUCAUACUGGGUCCUUCCUACCUGGCACCAACAAAUCAGGUAUUUCAUGACAGGUAUGUUUUAUUACGCAAAUGACAGCAUUUAAAACAAUUACUUAUGAGGGCUGCAUAAGUUAAAUGCCAAUGAUCCAUUGCUCUAAACCACAGCUGAUUGAAUAACAGCUGUGAUCUGAUCUAAGGACAGCCAAAUUGAGGGUUAGUUGGGUUAGUCAGAAGGCCAUGAAAGGGCCAUUAACAAAUCUUUACACCCACACGGAUUAUGGUGAUUAAUCUAGACCAAUUCUUUCUCUUGGAAAUUAACUGGAGUUUCCGAACAAGUCUACCAGUUGGUAGGAGCACCAAAAGAUAAAGACACCGGGAGAAGUACUGAGUGGGUGUGUGGUUGGUGGGUGGGAGGCAGGAUAGCAGAACUAGAGCCCUGAAGCAAGAUUUCAGGAAUGUCUCCUGUAGAGGGGUGCAAUAAAGAAUUUAGCCUUGUCCA
rnacentral:lncRNA from 1 species